rnacentral:rRNA from 1 species
UACGGAGGGAGCUAGCGUUGUUCGGAAUUACUGGGCGUAAAGCGUACGUAGGCGGUUAUUCAAGUCAGAGGUGAAAGCCUGGAGCUCAACUCCAGAACUGCCUUUGAAACUAGAUAGCUAGAAUCAUGGAGAGGUGAGUGGAAUUCCGAGUAUAGAGGUGAAAUUCGUAGAUAUUCGGAAGAACACCAGUGGCGAAGGCGGCUAACUGGACCAUUCUUGACGCUGAGGUACGAAAGCUAGGGUAGCAAAUGGG